UGGGGGUGAAGGGCUCUUCAGAGAACCAGUCAAAAUCAGCUAUCGAUCUGCACUGCAUUCUAUAUCGUGACCUGAUACGCAUUUCUCCUAAGUUCUGUCGUGGCCUCACUGCGUGCUGCUGUCUGUGUGCUCACAGCGUGCAGCCCGAGCUCCUGCAGCCUGCUCAGCUCUGCCAGCACCGACGGGACGAAGGUCACCGGGCUCUGUUUGCUGUUUGGGUGUUUGCAGUUCACAAUUCCAACUUUCCUAAAACAAAAAGGAGUAACAAAAUAAAGGCGAAACUGAGGCGGGGGGGGCCUUUAGGAGUCAAUGGGAACUUUGCCACCAAUACAAACAUCACAAGGGCCGAAAGUUGAGCUCUCAGUUCUCCAAUGAGACCUCAAGGUUUUGUCGUGCCGUGGUGUGGGGAAGAUCCUUCCUUUCUUCAGCCAUUUAUGAGAACAAAAUACAGCAGCAGCAAUCAGGGUGCACCGCACACCCCGAGUGGUGGCAGCACUUUGCACAUCUGGAAACAGCCCCUCAGCUUCUGAUGCAGCAAAACACAUCCUGGUGUUGCCCUGAACUCUGCAAUGGCCACAGCGCACUGCUCCCACCUGCAGCUCUCUGGAGGGAUUCCUCCAUUAACUGCAGCUCCC
rnacentral:lncRNA from 1 species